rnacentral:misc_RNA from 1 species
AAAAGCUUUGAAGAAUAGAGAAAAUCAGAAUCCGAUAUAAGAUUACGUGCUUUGCACUUAGUCCGACACAAUAAUCAUAGUUGAGUAUUAGCUUGAGAAGAUUCACAAUUAAUGAUACAAUGAGCAGGACAAUCCAAAGAUGACUAAUUAGAAGUGACUCUGGGCAGCAAAUAAAGGAGCAAUAACCAGUCCCAUGUAAUAUAUAUAUACAUAUAUAUAUAU